rnacentral:rRNA from 1 species
AUUGAACGCUGGCGGCAGGCCUAACACAUGCAAGUCGAGCGGAUGAAGGGAGCUUGCUCCUGGAUUCAGCGGCGGACGGGUGAGUAAUGCCUAGGAAUCUGCCUGGUAGUGGGGGAUAACGUCCGGAAACGGGCGCUAAUACCGCAUACGUCCUGAGGGAGAUAGUGGGGGAUCUUCGGACCUCACGCUAUCAGAUGAGCCUAGGUCGGAUUAGCUAGUUGGUGGGGUAAAGGCCUACCAAGGCGACGAUCCGUAACUGGUCUGAGAGGAUGAUCAGUCACACUGGAACUGAGACACGGUCCAGACUCCUACGGGAGGCAGCAGUGGGGAAUAUUGGACAAUGGGCGGAAGCCUGAUCCAGCCGUGCCGCGUGUGUGAAGAAGGUCUUCGGAUUGUAAAGCACUUUAAGUUGGGAGGAAGGGCAGUAAGUUAAUACCUUGCUGUUUUGACGUUACCGACAGAAUAAGCACCGGCUAACUUCGUG